rnacentral:rRNA from 1 species
AGAGCGAACGCUGGCGGCAGGCUUAACACAUGCAAGUCGAGCGGGCGUAGCAAUACGUCAGCGGCAGACGGGUGAGUAACGCGUGGGAACAUACCUUUUGGUUCGGAACAACACAGGGAAACUUGGGCUAAUACCGAAUAAGCCCUUACGGGGAAAGAUUUAUCGCCGAAGGAUCGGCCCGCGUCUGAUUAGCUAGUUGGUGGGGUAACGGCCCACCAAGGCGACGAUCAGUAGCUGGUCUGAGAGGAUGAUCAGCCUCAUUGGGACUGAGACACGGCCCAAACUCCUACGGGAGGCAGCAGUGGGGAAUAUUGGACAAUGGGCGCAAGCCUGAUCCAGCCAUGCCGCGUGGGUGAUGAAGGCCCUAGGGUUGUAAAGCCCUUUCGGCGGGGAAGAGUAAUGACGGUACCCGCAGAAGAAGCCCCGGCUAACUUCGUGCCAGCAGCCGC